rnacentral:tRNA from 1 species
GGGCGAGUGGCGGAAUGGCAGACGCGCUGGCUUCAGGUGCCAGUGUUCGCAAGAACGUGGGGGUUCAAGUCCCCCCUCGCCCA